rnacentral:rRNA from 1 species
UUAGUUGGUGGAGUGAUUUGUCUGGUUAAUUCCGAUAACGAACGAGACUCUAGCCUGCUAAAUAGUUCGCCGAUCCUCGGUUAGUCGGCGCGGAACUUCUUAGAGGGACAAGUGGCUUUCAGCCACGCGAGAUUGAGCAAUAACAGGU